AUGCUCCCAGGUGAUUUUAUUAUAACAGCGUUAGGCAUCCAUAUCCCAGGUGAUUUUAUUAUAACAGCGUUAGGCAUCCAUAUCCCAGGUGAUUUUAUUAUAACAGCGUUAGGCAUCCAUAUCCCAGGUGAUUUUAUAAUAACAGCGUUAGGCAUCCAUAUCCCAGGUGAUUUUAUUAUAACAGCGUUAGGCAUCCAUAUCCCAGGUGAUUUUAUUAUAACAGCGUUAGGCACCCAUAUCCCAGGUGAUUUUAUUAUAACAGCGUUAGGCAUCCAUAUCCCAGGUGAUUUUAUUAUAACAGCGUUAGGCAUCCAUAUCCCAGGUGAUUUUAUUAUAACAGCGUUAGGCAUCCAUAUCCCAGGUGAUUUUAUUAUAACAGCGUUAGGCAUCCAUAUCCCAGGUGAUUUUAUCAUAACAGCGUUAGGCAUCCAUAUCCCAGGUGAUUUUAUCAUAACAGCGUUAGGCAUCCAUAUCCCAGGUGAUUUUAUCAUAACAGCGUUAGGCAUCCAUAUCCCAGGUGAUUUUAUCAUAACAGCGUUAGGCAUCCAUAUCCCAGGUGAUUUUAUCAUAACAGCGUUAGGCAUCCAUAUCCCAGGUGAUUUUAUCAUAACAGCGUUAGGCAUCCAUAUCCCAGGUGAUUUUAUCAUAACAGCGUUAGGCAUCCAUAUCCCAGGUGAUUUUAUCAUAACAGCGUUAGGCAUCCAUAUCCCAGGUGAUUUUAUCAUAACAGCGUUAGGCAUCCAUAUCCCAGGUGAUUUUAUCAUAACAGCGUUAGGCAUCCAUAUCCCAGGUGAUUUUAUCAUAACAGCGUUAGGCAUCCAUAUCCCAGGUGAUUUUAUCAUAACAGCGUUAGGCAUCCAUAUCCCAGGUGAUUUUAUCAUAACAGCGUUAGGCAUCCAUAUCCCAGGUGAUUUUAUCAUAACAGCGUUAGGCAUCCAUAUCCCAGGUGAUUUUAUCAUAACAGCGUUAGGCAUCCAUAUCCCAGGUGAUUUUAUUAUAACAGUGUUAGGCAUCCAUAUCCCAGGUGAUUUUAUUAUAACAGCGUUAGGCAUCCAUAUCCCAGGUGGGGCUGGAAGGUUCUAUACACUACCAGUCAAAGUUGACACGCCUACUCAUCAGGGUUUUUCUUUCUUUUUACUGUUUUACUACUUUGGAUAA
rnacentral:lncRNA from 1 species